UAAGGAAUAUUGGACAAUGGGCGAAAGCCUGAUCCAGCCAUGCCGCGUGAAGGAUUAAGGUCCUCUGGAUUGUAAACUUCUUUUAUUUGGGACGAAAAAAGGGAAUUCUUUCCCACUUGACGGUACCAAGUGAAUAAGCACCGGCUAACUCCGUGCCAGCAGCCGCGGUAAUACGGAGGGUGCAAGCGUUAUCCGGAUUCACUGGGUUUAAAGGGUGCGUAGGCGGGUAUGUAAGUCAGUGGUGAAAUCUCGGAGCUUAACUCCGAAACUGCCAUUGAUACUAUAUAUCUUGAAUAUUGUGGAGGUUUGCGGAAUAUGUCAUGUAGCGGUGAAAUGCUUAGAUAUGACAUAGAACACCUAUUGCGAAGGCAGCAGGCUACACAUAUAUUGACGCUGAGGCACGAAAGCGUGGGGAUCAAACAGGAUUAGAUACCCUGGUA
rnacentral:rRNA from 1 species